UGUCUGGUAGUCGGUAAAAGUGGUAACCCGAACCCGGACCCGAACCGGAAUGUGCUGGAAAUUUGCCGAACCGGAAAUCUAUUUAACGAAUUUUAUGCCAUUUGCGUUUCGAUUUUUUUCUACUAACGUUUAUGCAUUUGAUGUAUAAUUAAAUUCUUUCUCAUGCAUGAAAAGAUUUGUGUCAAAACAUCACUAACAAAG
rnacentral:lncRNA from 1 species